rnacentral:rRNA from 1 species
ACGGGGGGUGCAAGCGUUGUUCGGAAUCAUUGGGCGUAAAGAGCGUGUAGGCGGCUGAGUAAGUCAGAUGUGAAAUCCCUGGGCUUAACCCAGGAAGUGCAUUGGAAACUGUUCAGCUUGAGUAAGGAAGAGGGAAGAGGAAUGCCAGGUGUAGAAGUGAAAUUCGUAGAUAUCAGGAGGAACACCGGUGGCGAAGGCGACUUCCUGGUCCUGUACUGACGCUGAGACACGAGAGCGUGGGGAGCAAACAG